UGGGCUUUUUAACAGCGCCAGAGGUCGUG
rnacentral:sRNA from 1 species